rnacentral:rRNA from 1 species
GUCAUCUCUAAGGAUGGUAUUGCCGUCAACCCCGAGCGAGUUCAGGCUAUUCUUGAUUGGACUCCUCCCAAGAACGUUAAGCAAGUCAGAAGUUUUCUCGGUCUCGCCAGCUAUUGCCGUCGAUUCGUCGAGAACUUCUCUAAGAUCGCCAGGCCUCUGACUAACCUGUUGCAUAAGGGCGUCAAGUUCCAAUGGACAGACAAAUGUCAGGAAAGUUUCCAAGCACUCAAAGACAAGUUGACUUCUGCCCCAGUUCUAGCUCCACCUGAUACUAAGAAGGACUUUGUCAUUUACUGCGACGCUUCCCGUCAAGGAUUAGGCUGUGUCCUAAUGCAAGACCGCAGAGUGAUUGCUUAUGCCUCUCGACAAUUGCGCCCUCACAAAGAGAACUACCCAGUUCACGACCUCGAACUUGCUGCUGUCAUUCAU